AGAGGAGGCAGCUCGUGGGUGAUCAGGGAAAGAAAGAAAGAAAGAAGAAGAAGAAGAAGAAGAAGAAGAAGAGAAAGAAAAUUGGGGCUUUUAGGGUUCUUGCUUUAAUCUUGUCAUUUCGGGUCAAGAUUUGCAAAGGAUAGCGUAUCGCUUGCUUAAAUGUUAAGAAUGGGCUGGGGCAGUGGAAAGUUUAGAAGACGUUGGGCAGAACUUUUGUUAGCAUAUAUGUAGUUGUGUAUAAGCUACCUUGCAUCUAAUGAAAUGUGACUAUAAAUCUAAACCUGUGGAUUUUGUGUAAGUUGAAGGAUCCCUCAUGUAUAGGGUUUUGGAAUGUUAAAUUAAAUUUGUGUAAUGAUAUGAACUUAUGGUAAAUCGAUGAUUGUGGUGACUGCAUGGAUUUCCCCACUUGUGGAUUUAUAUUGUGGUUUUUAUUUUGAUGAGUCGAGUUUAGAUUGUAUGAAUUAUCGAGUGAUGUGUGCUAUGUUUAUGAAUUGUACAGGGUUAUGAAUUGGUAGAUUAUAGAAGUGAAAUUUUUGAUCUGAAUGUUUUCUUAGUGACCUCAAAUGUGUGUUUGGAUCCUGGGUUAGUUGUGACGAAAGAUUUUAAAUAUAAUGGAUAUUUUUAGGGGCGUGACAGAGGUGGUAUCAGAGCAUGAUUUGAGAAUCACUAAGAAUGUUAUGUUUUUUUUUUGAGGUUUAUUGACUAUCAUUUAGAGAUUGAUCAAAGAAAAUGUUCUUUUGAUGUUUUAGGAAGCAAGGAUGACGAGAUCAUCUGGUUCUCCUGUUGCAUCUACUACUGAUCAAUUGAGUGGUAUUAUGCGGACUUUGGAGACUAUGGCACAAGUGAUGCAACAACAACAACAACCUGUCCAACAAGGAAGUAAUGAUGGAAUAGAGACAUCAAACCGGACGGGGUUGGGAAUUGGACAGUUUAAGAAGCUUAGUCCUCCCAGUUUCAGUGGUGAGUCUGAUCCAAUGGUGGCGGAACGAUGGAUGAUGCAGAUAGAGAAAA